CUGCACUGUUUUGUGCAAAUGCAGUGGGUUUAUGAUCAGUACUGCCUUUAUCUAUAAAGCUGCUAACUUUCCAGCCUUGAAGAGAAAAGAUAAUGUCAGCUGCCAGAGUUGUGAUUGUAUGGCAAGGAGGCCUGGACGAUGAGAACCCUUUUUCUGAAUUGGUUCCACCAAUGUUUCUUUCUGAAGCCAGGAAGUAACUUGCCAGUAAGAAACCACCUUUUAAAGGUGAUCUUGGACAAUGCACUUGCGCCCCAUGCCCGCCCCCCAGCUCCUCCACUGAGCCCCAUGAAUUCAACACUGAAGAUGUCAAAGUGAUCUACCUGCCCACAAACACAAUGUCUCCAAUUUGGCCUCUUGAUCAGUCUUAAGGACCUUUAAGGCUCAUUACACACAGUACUACAUGGAAAGGAUUGUCCGUGUUCUAGAAGAGAAUCCAAACCAGACAUCAUAAAAGUCUGGAAGGAUUACACCAUUGAAGAUGCCACCGUUGUUUCAGAAGAAGCCAUGGAAACCAUCUAGCCUGAAGCAGUGAAUUCCUGCUGGGGAAAACUGUGUCUAGAGGUUGUAUAUGACUUCACAGGAUUUAUGAUAGAGAUUAUGACAUAGAAAUCGAAGAAAUCAUGAAAUAGAUUGUGGACAUGGCAAAAAGGCCAGGAGGUAAAGGGCUUCUUGGAGAAAUUCCAGAAUUAAUAGGCACCACACCAGAUGAAUUAAGAGUUGUCUUGACGGACAUGAGUCGUCUUCAUGAACAAAUUGACGUUAGAUAAUCUGGCAGAAGCAUCCUGAUUUAUUCAAGACUGCUUUUGACCUCCUUUACAACAUGGACCCUUCUAUGAUAUGGGUGCUGAAACUAAAGUACGUAGAGGAAGAAAGAUUGGUAUUGUACAGAAAGCUUUUUAGAGAAAUGAAAGAGCAAAAAAAGGUCAAAUUAUGAAAUAUGUAUUUCUGUAAAGUUGCACCCGCCUCUUCUGCCUUCCUUUCUACCUUCUGCUCCUCUUCCCCCCCAUCACCCCUCGUCCUCCUCAGUCUACCCAACAGGAAGAUGAUGACAAUAAAGACCUUUAGGAUGAUCCACUUCCAUUUAGUGAAGAGUAAGUAAUCAUUAUGCUGCACCAUUAAUAAACAUCCGUUGUGUCUUCAUGUGAAAAUACAAUAACUGUAUGGUAAGAACUAUGCGAAACAUUUUCUGUCCUCCUCCUCAUCACUGCUUAAGUAUUCAUCACGUAGAAUAUCACAAACCAGAUUUGUAUGGAAGUGGAUAGCCUAUCCUUUCACAGGCAUGGGGUCAGUGAUAUUUAACAUAAAAUUAAUAAUGUGUUAGUUAUCUUACUGUUUUAUAACUUUGCUUUCAAAGAAUUACCACACAAUAUCUCUGACUGCCAUCUUUCUCUCCCUCUCUCCAUACCCUGCCUUCUCCCCCCGCCCCCCACCUAUAACUGGAGAAACUAUGUAUCAGCCUGUCAUCACAGAGAGUGAGCAAGCAGAAGAGGGACAGAAAGAGGAAGAGGGAGAAACCCAAGCACGCCCCACACUCAACGCUGAGCCCAGUGCAGGACUCAACCUCACAACCUUGAGAUCGUGACCUGAGCUGAAAUGAAGAGUCAGACGCCCAACCAUCUGAGCCACCCAGCAUUAAUGAAGUCAUUGCGUGGCUAAACCUUGUUCUGAAGACAGCUUCAGUCUCAAGGAAGAAGAUAACCUGGACUCCUAUUCUGAAAGACUUGACCCGUAAUAUAAAUCAGGGCACAAACAACAGCACUGUCCAGUUGCAAUGACUAUCAUGAUGAGCCCCUGACCUUCAGCACUGAGUGCAAUUGAUCUAGCUAUUACUGUUUACUUAAUGGAAAAAUCUCUCUCCUGCUUUCAGAUUUGUCCCAAGGCUUAGCCACAAGAGUAAGAUUUCUUUUUAAAAUAUACCUCUUGUGCACUAAGAAGCAUGUACAAUUCCAGGUUUUAGAGAUUUAGCAGUGAAUAAGACAACCGGAGGAUAAAUGACAGAAGGGAUAUCUGAGGCCUGGAGCGUGUACAGGGAAAGAGCUCUGACCAUGUCCAAAGUCAGGGUGUGCACACCCUACACAUCACUGAGUAUUUCACCUCUCAUUUGCUAUAUGCAGAAGCACAGGAACCCAUCCACCCUUGCUCAAGGAGUCAUGGUUUUGGAAGUUAUUCCCUACGAUCGCCUUAUGUGCUGCAAAUAAAGUUUCCUCUGUUUGACGACUCACCCGAUGCAGUUUCUAUCUGUGACUCACCAAGGAGUGAACUCACAUUAGUUCGGUUACAAUAGAGGGAGCGGCUAUCACCUGCUGACCUCACAUAGGUAGAUUCUACUUAAUUUUGCUGAUCGUCUUUCUCCUCACACGAAGAUGUAAACUCUGUGAAGAGAGUUUUCCUGUCUGUUUUGUUCAUGACCCCAUUCCCGGUGGGAGAACAGUGUCUGAUAACCACUAGGUGCUCAGUGAGUGUUUUUUAAAGAAAUCACUGGUCUGAAUGAUUGUAA